rnacentral:rRNA from 1 species
GAUGAACGCUGGCGGCGUGCCUAAUACAUGCAAGUCGAGCGAACAGACGAGGAGCUUGCUCCUCUGACGUUAGCGGCGGACGGGUGAGUAACACGUGGAUAACCUACCUAUAAGACUGGGAUAACUUCGGGAAACCGGAGCUAAUACCGGAUAAUAUAUUGAACCGCAUGGUUCAAUAGUGAAAGACGGUUUUGCUUUAACUUAUAAAUGUAUCCGCGCCGCAUUAGUAAUUUGGUAAGUUAAAGGCUUACCAAGGCAACAACGCGUAGCAGACCUGAGAGGGGGAUCGGCAAAAUGGGAACUGAGACCCGGUCCAGACUCCUACGGGAGGAAGCGGUAGGGAACCUUGCGAAAUGGGGGAAAGCCGAACGGAGCAACGCCGCGGGAGGGAUGAAGGUUUUCGAAUCGUAAAACUCUGUUAUAAGGGAAGAACAAAUGUGUAAGUAACUAUGCACGUAUUGACGGUACCUACUCAGAAAGCCACGGCUAACUACGUG